AAUACUUGCUUUCUUUCCUAUUAUUAUCUUUUUCUUUCAUUUGGCAAAUUUGGCUCUUGUUAACUAGAAACACUGUGGACUUCUUUUUUUCUUCAUUGUUCUAGUACAGCUACAUGAUCCUGACAGUGGGAUACUGAGGUGUGAACAGAGAAAGCUCUUCCUGUCAGACUUACUGCAAGGUUUCAGUUACUUUGCUUUUGACUGUAUUUGUUUCCCCUCACAUCUUUUUUCCUACAUGCUCUGAGGAAUCCUACAAGGACAAAUUUCUGCAUCACCAUGUUGAUUGUCUGUCAUAGAAAAGGAAAACAAGAUCCUUAAGGACCAGAUGACAGCUACUGGUGGACCUGCAUGUGUGCAAAUGAAACCAGCACCAGCUACUGGAAUCAGAACCGGGAUCCACGCAGCAGUGCUGGGCAGACAGAGGGACGAUGCCAGAGUAUGAAUGUGGUCUCAAUAAAUCUGGCAGAAAACCAAGGGCUGGAGGAGAAAAAAUUGUCCUUCUGGAGCAACACAAUACUGACAUGGAAGGUAACGAAAAGCUUUUAUUGGGUAUUUACUUUCAAUGUACUUAAAUCAGUGGUUUUAUCUUGUUAUCAGAAUAUAAAUAUAUAGAUUUCCAAGCCAUAGUUAACUACUGUAAGCUGUAACAACCUACUUGUCUGUCCUUAUGACAGACAUCCUCCCUUCCCUCCCAUCCUCCCAGACAGUCCCACCUUUCUGGGGAGGGACUCUUUGUCAGGAUGUGUAGUGACAGGACAAGGAGGUUUAAAUUAAAAGAGGGUAGGUUUAGAUUAGAUAUUAGGAAGAAAUUAUUUACUAUGAUGGUGGUGAGGCACUUGAACAGGUUGCCCAGAGAAGCUGUGGAAGCCCCAUCCCAGAACUGUUUAAGGCCUGGUUUUGAUUAACCUGAUCAAGGAAGGGCCCCCUGCCCAUGGCAGGGGGGUUGGAACUAGAUGAUCUUUUAGAUCCCUUCCAACCCAAACCAUUCUGUGAUUCUAUGAUUCUAUGACUCUUAUAUGAUGUCCAACGUUAUGGUAGAGAAGAGCCUCCAG
rnacentral:lncRNA from 1 species